AUCUAGCUGAUGAGUCCUUAAUAGGACGAACUGAGAGUCUUGGAU
rnacentral:hammerhead_ribozyme from 1 species